rnacentral:rRNA from 1 species
GACGAACGCUGGCGGCGUGCUUAACACAUGCAAGUCGAACGGUAAGGCCCUUCGGGGUACACGAGUGGCGAACGGGUGAGUAACACGUGGGUGAUCUGCCCUGCACUUCGGGAUAAGCCUGGGAAACUGGGUCUAAUACCGGAUAGGACUCCUGGCUUCAUGGUUGGGGGUGGAAAGCUUUUGCGGUGUGGGAUGGGCCCGCGGCCUAUGAGCUUGUUGGUGGGGUAAUGGCCUACCAAGGCGACGACGGGUAGCCGGCCUGAGAGGGUGACCGGUCACACUGGGAAUGAGAUACGGCGCAGACGCCGACGGGAGGCAGCAGGGGGGAAUAUUGCACAAUGGGCGCAAGCCUGAUGCAGCGACGCCGCGUGUGGGAUGACGGCCUUCGGGUUGUAAACCUCGUUCAGCUAUGACGAAGCGCAAGUGACGGUAGUAGCAGAAGAAGGACCAGCCAACUACGUGCCAGCCGCCGCAGUAA